GACGAACGCUGGCGGCGUGCUUAACACAUGCAAGUCGAACGAUGAAGCCCAGCUUGCUGGGUGGAUUAGUGGCGAACGGGUGAGUAACACGUGGGCAACCUGCCCCAAACUCUGGGAUAACUCCUCGAAAGAGGUGCUAAUACCGGAUACGAACUAGACAGACAUCUGUACUAGUUGGAAAGUUUUUCGGUUUGGGAUGGGCCCGCGGCCUAGCAGGUGGUUGGUGAGGGAACGGCUCACCAAGGCUACGACGGGUAACCGGCCCGAGAGGGAGACGGAUCACACUGGGACUGAGACACGGCCCAGACUCCGACGGGAGGCAGCAGUGGGGAAUGUUGCGCAAUGGGCGAAAGCCUGACGCAGCGACGCCGCGUGAGGGAUGAAGGUCUUCGGAUCGUAAACCUCUUUCAGUAGGGACGAAGCGAAAGUGACGGUACCUAAAGAAGAAGCACCGGCUAACUACGUGCCAGCAGCCGCAGUAA
rnacentral:rRNA from 1 species